GGAGCCGUAGCGAAAGCGAGUUUUAACUGAGCGUUCAGUUACUUGACGUAGACCCGAAACCGGGCGACCUACCCAUGAGCAGGAUGAAGCGAAAGUAAAAUUUCGUGGAGGUCCGAACCCACGAGCGUUGAAAAGCUCGGGGAUGACUUGUGGGUAGCGGUGAAAUUCCAAUCGAGCCCGGAGAUAGCUGGUUCUCCCCGAAAUAGCUUUAGGGCUAGCCUCAAGGUGAGAGAUACGGAGGUAGAGCACUGAAUGUCCUAGGGGGUAUUGCACCUACCGAAGACUAUCAAACUCCGAAUGCCGUCAUCUUAUACUUGGGAGUCAGACUGUGGGUGAUAAGAUUCAUAGUCGAAAGGUCAACAGCCCAGAUCGUCAGCUAAGGUCCCUAAAUGUAAGUUAAGUGGUAAAGGAUGUGGGAUUGCACAGACAACCAGGAUGUUGGCUUAGAAGCAGCCACUCAUUCAAAGAGUGCGUAAUAGCUCACUGGUCGAGUGAUCCUGCGCCGAAGAUUUCCGGGGCUAAAACUUACUACCGAAGCUACGGCAUCA
rnacentral:rRNA from 1 species